CGGAAACGUCUCGAAGUCUCGAAGGUGGAAGACAUCAAACAGAAUGGCAGAUACACUUUGUUGGAGCAGAACAUUACUGUGAGUUUCUCUUUGCAGAGAGAGUGCCUCUUUGAGGAGUGUACCUGUAUGUGUCAAGAGAAAUAGCUAGACAUCUUCUUGACAGCCAACUAUAGGGACUGCAAGUGUACAGGUCAGUGGCAAAGCUGACUGCUACCACACAGCCCACAGUAUCUCUAAGGCAACACAAUGCAAUUGGGAUGGAGCUGGAAUGAUGAUAGUUGAGAGACAACCCUGGCUCCACAGCUGAUUCCAGUGCCUCUCGUGUUGUGGUAACUCAUCAUUACAAAACUUCAAUGGCCCGUUAUUUUCGUGCACAUGCUUCAGAGCCAGCCAUCUCCGGGGCAUGGGCCAGUACAAGUUAUACAGGUGCUCGCAAUCAACAGUGACCUCCCAGUCCAGACUUGUACAAUACCGUAUCGGUGGCGAGCAGCUACAGCCUCCCAACCGGUUUGGCCAGAUUGCCAUCAGAAUUUAGACUGGUCUCAUUACCCUCAACCAGCCGCUCACUUGGAUCAAUUUGACGGAAACAAUCCAAGUCCUUUUGCUGUGAAAGCAAAAUGCGAACAGCUGUGACCUCUAGAGUGUUAACAGUCAAAUUGUUGAUGACGGACACAGGGCGAUCACAAUAGGACUGUGACUUUAGCAUGACAAGUUGUCUGGUAGCAGUAGAAAUGAGAUCAUGGAACAUCACAAUCGAUGUGCACGACAUCAACAAAGGAAAGAGGGUGGUAUAAAGCUGUUCAAUUUGGUGACCAACAUCUUCAUUGAAAAUGGCAAUGCCUCCGUCUUUUCUCCAAUGAUUCCAGUGGUGGCCAGAUCUUUUGCAGGAUGAACAGCGACGUUGACAGCGCAGCACAGUGCAGAGACUUUGUCCAGUGUGACAUAAAAUGGAUAUCAGCAUCAAACAUUGUCCAGCCUCCAAACAGUCAGGAGAACUACUUUUUUUCUGAAUCCCCACACCUGUCUGCUCACAGUGCAAAUAUAGUCUGCAAGACCUUCUUCGCAGACCAUUUGUACAUCACGGCGUCCUCUUCAAGAAUACACAAUCAUCUUACCGGUAGUCUGUUCCAGCCUGCAUGAUCUUCCUCCCAUACCAUUUGUACAUCACGGCGCAAGUCACACGCGUACUCUUCAAGAAUAGGCAAUCAUCUUAGUCUGUUCCAGCCUGCAAGACCUACCACUAGACCACCUUUACAUUAUCAUUGCAGAACGGAGCCUGGUGGGUGCUGUCAAAUUUCAGAGAGCAGUGCUAGAGCAGACAUGAGACCAGCACCCUUCGGGACGUCGGUUGAAAUCCCCCGCCAAUCACAAAAUAUGGCCAAGAAAGACCUUCUACUGCAUCACGGAGAAAAGGCGAGGAUAACGAUUCAAGUGCAGACACCAGAGAAGUGCCUACCCCUCCCCCACCAUCGAGAAAUAAAAUGUAUAUCAUUAUGCAUUUGAACUUAAAACAGCAUUUAAACAGUCACACGACGAACAAAAUGCUUGUUCUGACUGCUGCAGCUAUUCUACUACAAGACAGUGAACAUUUUGUGGUUAUUUCAGUGCAAAUGAUUCCUUCUCUUCAAGAACUAGCCUCGCUUAUCAAGUGGAAAAACGUGUUAUCCAUCAUUCGGAACUCCUCGGCCAUUUCUUAUUGAAAACAACCUCGCAUGUUUGCCAGCACAUGGGAAGAAUUAGUUCGUAAAAUUUUAUGUAAUAUUAUUUAUUAAAUGUAGUGUUUUGGCGUGCUUUUAUAUCUCAGUUUAAUUUAAUUGCCAGUGAAGUGUAUGAUUGCACACACAAUUAAGAUUUCCUAGAGUUAAGUGUUUAAGUUUAACUUAAUUGAAAUUACUACGCGAUCCAUGCAGCGUAGUUAAAGUGUACCUAGUUCUGACAUUGUAAACCAGCCAUAUACGUCCGAGGUUGUUUUCGAUGGAAAAUGGCCGAGGAUUUUUGAUUGGUUACCCAUACAUACGUGCGUGAUUGUUAAUACAUUUGGAUGUCAUAUCACUUAUCUUCAGUUUUAUUGGAUAGAAAACAGUGCGUUUGUAACUUUUGCACGUAAACGUACUCUAAUUUUAAUUGAAUAUGAAAUGCAUCUAUUUGUACAUCUGUCUGUCCAUCCUAUAUCUGGCCUUAUUCCCUGGCUGUCUCUCCAUCGUGUAUGCCUUGUUUGAAAUCAGGGGCCGCUGUAUUCCUAACAUUCUACCCCAUCCCUCCCCAUAAUCAUCCCUGUCUACUGUCCAGCCAUUUUCGAACCAAAUCCUUUUCUUGACCCACCUUUAUUGUCCUGAACUCCCUUGUCCUGCCCCACACCCUGACCUGUUGUCCACUGUCAUUCUAACCCAAAUCCACCUUUUACUUAAACAUAUUUGAAUUAAGGUCCUGCCCAUAGCAUUCCUCUUUUCUUCGGCAGACAGAUAUGCAAUUAGAUUUGUAGUGCUUAGUUAUAUAGUUAUUAGGAAUAUGGACAUUUUGUUUUGGUUAAUUGUUUUGCAUAUGUUUGGAAUGAAGACACUUGAAUUUUGA